AUCCAGAGAUGGAUUUGUGCCUUCGGGAACCGUGAGACAGGUGCUGCAUGGCUGUCGUCAGCUCGUGUUGUGAAAUGUUGGGUUAAGUCCCGCAACGAGCGCAACCCUUAUCCUUUGUUGCCAGCGAUUAGGUCGGGAACUCAAAGGAGACUGCCAGUGAUAAACUGGAGGAAGGUGGGGAUGACGUCAAGUCAUCAUGGCCCUUACGACCAGGGCUACACACGUGCUACAAUGGCGCAUACAAAGAGAAGCGACCUCGCGAGAGCAAGCGGACCUCAUAAAGUGCGUCGUAGUCCGGAUUGGAGUCUGCAACUCGACUCCAUGAAGUCGGAAUCGCUAGUAAUCGUGGAUCAGAAUGCCACGGUGAAUACGUUCCCGGGCCUUGUACACACCGCCCGUCACACCAUGGGAGUGGGUUGCAAAAGAAGUAGGUAGCUUAACCUUCGGGAGGGCGCUUACCACUUUGUGAUUCAUGACUGGGGUGAAGUCGUAACAAGGUAACCGUAGGGGAACCUGC
rnacentral:rRNA from 1 species